AAGUUAACCUAUAAAGGGGAGGGAGGAAGUCCAUGGGAACUUACGUAAUUCUUGUUUUGUUUUGUUUUUGAUGUAAAAAGUGAGGUUUCGUCGAUAUCUGAUAAUUGUCUCCGAUUAUAUUACCUGGGCAGCCUGGCCAUUCUUUUGUGUUUCAGUUUAAAAAAAAUAAAGUGAUACAGAAAAAGAAGAAGGAAAGGGGAGAGGGAGAAAAACAACAACACAGAUACAUAUAAAAACGAAAAUAUACAAAAAAGGUAGCAAUACAGUGGUACCUCAGGUUAAGUAGUUAAUUCGUUCCGGAGGUCCGUACUUAACCUGAAACUGUUCUUAGCCUGAGACACCACUUUAGCUAAUGGGGCCUCCUGCUGCUGCCGCACUGCCAGAGCACGGUUUCUGUUCUCAUCCUGAAGCAAAGUUCUUAACCUGAGGUACUAUUUCUGGGUUAGCGGAGUCUGUAACCUGAAGCCUAUGUAACCCGAGGUACCACUGUAUAUGAUACUGUAUUCCCAUACAUUCUUAUAUAAAUUGGUAUAGUGUUAUUGUCCUAGUGCAGGCAUAGGCAAACUUGGCCCUCCAGCUGUUUUGGGACUACAACCACUGGUCCUGUUAGCUAGGGGUGAUGGGAGUUGUAGUCCCAAAACAUCUGGAGGGCCGAGUUUGCCUAUGCCUGCCCUAGUGCUUAUGUAAAAGCUAAUAGCCUACUAAAUUUUGCAUAAACUCAUUCCAAAUGCUAUCGUAUUUAUCCAUACAGAGUCUGCGCCUGUAAGCAGUCUGUUCAUAAAUUGCCAUUGAUGUCAUAUUGUCAGUCCAUUGAUUGAAGGGUAUAGCAUAUCUUUAUUUUUCCAAUUCCUCAGUAUCAAUCUUUUGGUCACCGUUAAGGCAUAUCCAUUGUCCUGUUGAUAAUUUCCAUACUGUAGGUAUAUAGUUCAAUAAAAUAUUCUCUGCUGAAAGAGUUAACUUUUUCUGCACAGUCAUAUAGUUACACACUCCAGCACUUUCUCCCAAAGCUUGUUAAGUAAAGAGCACUGUGCAAACAUGUCUUUCAGAGAGACAUAUUUCAGAAAGCCUGAAAUGAUAUGAUUUAGCCACAAGAGGGUAGCCACACAGUGUAUUGUCGAUUAAAUGCUUUGGGAGUAUUAUUCCUCCAGGUGGCGCUGGUCCAAGCCUGCGCGGGAAAUUUUGGAUUUCCGCCUAAAGUCAGCAACACAGACUUACAAUAGCAAUAAUGAUAGACUGCUAACUCCAUUGCUUGAAGAUGAGAUAGUCUGGUUCCUUAGAUGCACAGGAAGCAGAAGAUGCCACAGAUGUUUUAUCCCUGCCUGCCUCUCAGCCUUACAUGUCUGAAACACAAAAGCAGCAGAAAUAACCUACAACGAGCCUCUGUUGCCCAGUAUGAGCCAGGGGUCUACAUACCCUCAACACUGACUUAUAUUUCUUCACAUGUAGCUUGAGGACCAUGGGACAAUAUGUCCACAGAUCUCCUUCCCAUAGGUGAUUGAAUGUGAAAAUUAUUGUUACUGUGUUCAUUAGUCAGAAUCUUUAUUUGUUUGCAGCAAUGGGAUUACUAUUACAAUCAAACCAGCCUUUUACCCAAUUUCAUUUUAUGAAUCUGAAAUAAAUAGGGAAGGGAGAAAAUUGAGACCCCUCUCCACACAUUACUAAUAACCCCGUGUAGUAUUUAUGGGUUUUUAAAAAAACUUUUUAUUAACACAUACUGCAUUACUUCAUUAAUUUAGACUCAUGGGCUUAAUUUUUUCUGUACGGUUUUUGCAUGCUUGAAAAACAAGGUACUGCUUAUUAAUGAACAGAUAGAUUGCUUUUCAAAAUUCCUCCAUAAAAUGAGCAUUUAAAAACUUUGUGAUUUUAAACUUUUAUCCUAUGAUAAAAGAACUGCUUGGAAUGACAUAAAUCUUCAACACAUGUCUAGAAAUAAUAAUAAUAAUUAUUACUAAACAUUUAGAAAAAUCUAAAAUUUUCAAAGCACUGCACACAUAUUGAUAGUAAAAAUGGCCCUUGCCUCCAAGCUUGCAAUGAUACACAUGAUACAAAAGGGAAAAGGAAUGGGAAGGGAAGAGGAAAGCAAACAUUUGAAGCCAAUGGAUGGGGCCAGGCCCAGUGGUGGAGGAAUCCUCUCCAGCACCCGGGGCGGUGCAGCCCGUGCAGACUGCGCAUGUGCGGCAUCUCACGCGUGUGCACUCCUUAUGGAAUGCCGCACAUGCAGAGUCCAUAUGGGCUGCCGCUCGAGCAGUAUCCCAUACGGACUGCACAUGCCCUCGGUCGUUCUACAGCUGGGGGGAGGCAGGGGCCAUCUUGUCACCCCUCCCAGAGUGGCACCCGGGACGGACCGCCCCCUCCACCCCCCUUCCUACACCCCUGGCCAGGCCAGGCCCUGGCCACCCCUGGUCUUCUUCUCCAAUAUGUGAGCUGCAUUUUUGUGUAAGCCCAUCUAUGUUGGUACCUUUUUCUUAGAAGUGCUUCUUGCUUUUCAAUCUAGGACUUCAAGGCAAGGGUAAGCAACAUCUCCACAAUUAAGAAAUUCUUGGAGCCAGGCAGCCAGAGGAAAUUUGAAUUAGACGACAAGGCUCUUCAAGAGAUCAGGAAGAUUUUUAAUGUCUGAGAACAUCUGCUAUGAAGAUCACUACAAAUACUGGCAUGAUUUUAACAAAUCUGUGUGACUUCUCUCUUACCAGUUGGAGGAUUAACAGUGUAGUCCUAUUCAUGUCUAUUCAGCAUUAGUUCCAUUUGAAUUCAGUGUAGCUUACUUCUGGGUAAAUGUAGGUAUAGGAUUGGAGCCUAAAUCCGUAAAAUAGUAUUUCCUCUUGGUUCCAUAAUCUCAAAUGCUUUUGAUUGCAAACUCUUGAAAAAUGUAGUAGAUGAGAACUCUUUUGUGAAGAUUCUGAGGCCUCCUUUAGAUAUUAGUCUAAUGCAACCUUCCCAAACCUGGUAUGAAACCUUCCAGGGGUUUUGGACUACAGCUCCCAUCAGACACAGCCAGCAUGACCAGCAGUCAAAGAAUGAAAUUGCUAGAGCCAGCAAACAUUUGAUAUUGUGCAAGGAUUUUUUUCAGCCGGAACUCACUGGAACUGAGUUCCACCACCUCUCUGGUGCAUUCCAGAGUUCAAAUGCUACUGAGUAGAGAAUCACCAUAAUGGCACUGUGUAAAUCCACAAAAGGAGAUGAAGAUAAUACUGUGUGAUGGUACAAUAAAAUGAAAUAAAGCAUUCUACAGCGUUUGUACUUCA